UACGUAGGGUGCGAGCGUUGUCCGGAAUUAUUGGGCGUAAAGAGCUUGUAGGCGGUUUGUCGCGUCUGCCGUGAAAAUUCGAGGCUCAACCUCGAACUUGCGGUGGGUACGGGCAGACUAGAGUGUGGUAGGGGAGACUGGAAUUCCUGGUGUAGCGGUGAAAUGCGCAGAUAUCAGGAGGAACACCGGUGGCGAAGGCGGGUCUCUGGGCCGAUACUGACGCUGAGGAGCGAAAACGUGGGGAGCGAACAGG
rnacentral:rRNA from 1 species